GGGUACGCAUAAAAUGCAAAAUUAUACAUGAUCCCUGGCUGUUGCAGAAAUUUUCCGAAACUCAAUUCCACCAAAAAACAACUGCGCAGGGGAUGGUGAUGACAAAGGAAAUUCUCUUCAAGCACAUCAAUCUCCCCCUGGAUGCCUCGAAUUUCCGCCCUUCAUUCAGCCAAAGUCACGAAUGAAUUCAGAGUGCGUUGCGAGCGUCCUCGAUGAGAUUCUACCGGGUUGACUUAUCAGGCGGACCAAAUUACAUAGCUAUGGUUGAUUGAAUCAUCAUGGAGACUCGUUGAGCGGUAAUAAUUGUAGUUCAGUUGGUUGAGGCAGAUCUGGACAGAAACUUAAAGCAUUCGUCGUGUUCAAGUGGACAUAGAUUGAUUACGUAUUGAUUCGAGGAGUCUUCAGUAAGGCUCGUUCGAAGUGGGAAGAAAAGUGUAUUCUCAAGCAGAGAUUGUUGUCACAAUGAGUUUGCUUGAAAGUUCAUGGAUGGUCGAAAAUUGGCCGUGAGGAAUCUUAAGUAUUUCUACUUAGAGCCCACAUUUGUGGUGGCUAAUCUUAGAGGUUAACACCCCAUCAAGCAUUGCCAGAUUGACAGCUCUCGCCACGAGGUCUGAGGGUCAACCUGAAGAUCAGAAUCCAUCGAAUAUUCAAAAUGAAGUUAUCCAUUGUGUUGGCUCUUACUCUCUUGAGCACCUUGAUCAUUGGCUCAGAUGCCUUCUUCAACAUCUUUGGAGGCAACUCGAGCAAUCGAUCGCCCAGAAGCAAUGGAUGCAACGACUGUGGAACUUUCUUGGGCUGUCUCCUCUGUGGACGAAUCCUGGGUCCCUCCGCCGUAGGCAGAAGAAAAAGGUCAUUGGAGCACCUAAACGAAGACAUCCUCCAACAUCUGGAUUAACACCGGCUUUUGGGGCUCAAUCAAAAUAGAUAACUCCCAGAUCUCGUUUAAAGUAAUAAAAAAACCGGACUCGUACACCAUGUGCCGAGCUCCGAGUCUGAGUAACAGGUUUUCUGUC